CUCAGUUGUGGGCAGCACAACAGAGUGUUGGGCGGCAAAACAGGUUUGUGUGCCUACGUGGUUAUGUAGACGUAUUUGUAAAAUUUACCGUUACUCAAGGUAACAGAUAAGCAAAAAACUGGGAAAAUGAAUAAAAGAAAUUGAAUGAAUUAUUAUUGUCUCGAGGUACAAAUCGCAGGGCUAUUGUCUUGAAUUACAUUGAAGAGCGUCAGUGGGGAAGAGGAGGUAGCUGACAGCAACAGCUUCAAUAUCAAGCCACGCCUGACGGCGAGAAUACGACAACACAAAUAGCCAACUUUUGAAUAGUGUAAGCGGAUUCAUGUCAGCUUUAUUACUUGGUACAGCCGGAAUAUUCACUCGCCUGACCGAUUAACUAGGUUAAGUUAGCACUGAUUGCAGCUGAAUUAAGUUAGUCUCACAAAUGGAAAUACUGGAUUGUGUUGAUUACUCAGCAAUUACGGGCAAUAAUUGGCAAACAAAAUACGGUAUAAAUACUACAGAGUUGGUAAAACAAGUGCGGCGCUAAAAGAGGGGAAGUGGAAAAUUGUACACGAAAAAAUAAUACUUUGUCAUGGGAAGCAGACGAAAAGAAAUGGUUUGAAAUGAAAUUUAGCGGAAAACUUUUA